GCAGUGGUGGUUCAGGGUUAGAAUUCUGAUCUUCCAUGUGGGAGACCCGGGUUCCAUUCCUAGCCAAUGCA
rnacentral:tRNA from 1 species